rnacentral:rRNA from 1 species
CCUUGUCCUUAGUUGCUACGCAAGAGCACUCUAAGGAGACUGCCGGUGACAAACCGGAGGAAGGUGGGGAUGACGUCAAGUCCUCAUGGCCCUUAUGGGUAGGGCUUCACACGUCAUACAAUGGUCGGAACAGAGGGUUGCCAACCCGCGAGGGGGAGCUAAUCCCAGAAAACCGAUCGUAGUCCGGAUUGCACUCUGCAACUCGAGUGCAUGAAGCUGGAAUCGCUAGUAAUCGCGGAUAAGCAUGCCGCGGUGAAUACGUUCCCGGGUCUUGUACACACCUCCCGUCACACCAUGGGAGUGGGUUUUACCAGAA